ensembl:lncRNA
GCCGCUUCCCAUUGGCUCCGCCAGUUGCUAGGCGAUGAACAACAGCGGCCUGCAUUGGUCCGGUGGCACCUCCAAAAAAACCCGGAGAAAAAGAAAACCUCAUCCCUAGAGCCCGAGCGGGAUGCGGCCGCAGCUGCGGCUCUCGGCACCUGUUACGCCCUGUGAUUCACCCUGCUGGGUCCUCAGGCUCUCCACCCCCUCCUCACGCCCGCGGAGCCCGGGGCCCCGGGCUUCAUGGGGCUAGGGGCGGGUGGCGGGGUCGUGGCUGCUUCAAAGCACAAGUCCCGAGCCCCUGUGAACCCCAGCACCCACCCGAGCAAAAGUGAAGCGCCCAAUAAAGCUCUGUGGGCUUGAAAAAGUGGGGAAAUAAACCAAACAGCCGGCACCCAGAAUUAGGUCAGGCCCAGGGGAAGGGAGGUUCCAGCGCUGGGAGUCGAGGAUGCCAAGGAGAAAAGUUCAUGUAAAUUUAGGGCAAGAAUUGGACCUAGGCGAAAGACAGCGGGAAGUCUAAGAAAAGGCAUUCGUGAAUUAGAAGUUUAUGCAAAACUGCCCCACACCCAGUGAUCAAAAUAUGCGCAAAGAAAAUGUAUGCCCGCUACUCCCUUAGCCAGGUCAUGGCGGCUCCGCUCGUGCUCCAUGGCCUCCUAAAAUUCUCCAGCGGAGAUGAGACGCCAGAAAAAGGAAGGAGAUCAGAUGGAGAAAUCGCAGGCUUAUGAGUUGAGUUAUAAAACAAAGACGUACUUGGAUAGAUUUUUUUUAAGUGAAGCCAAGAAAUUUACUCAAGAGAGUAAAAACAGGUUUGGUAUUUUAAGGAGGAUCCUGAGAGCACUUUGAAACCAAAAUACUAUGAGAGAAGGACAAGAAUUGUUAAAACUGAAGAACAAGGGAGAAAGGAGUGCCUUCUUCCAGUUCACACACGUAUAUCCAGCCCCAAUCCUGGAUGAAAGAUCAAGGCGAGAAAAUGAACAUGCCAUGGCGACAACUUCAGAAUCCAAGGUAACCCUCCUGUUGCUUUUGGCCUAAGCUAUCGGGAGGCCAGGACUGAUGCAGGUGAAGAUUCUCAGAAAACUAUCCAUUACCCAUCCUGCUGCUUGUCACUACCCUACCCCCAUCCGGCCCCACCACCAGAGACAAACAGAACAGCAGACAAAAUACUUGAUCAUCUUCUAGGAAUUUCACUGUUAGUGCUUUAGAUUUUUGUCUGGUGUGCUGAAUGUUCUGCUCUAUCAUUUCUUUUGAAAGUGGAUUUUUUUUUUCAUUUGUUGAGUGUUUUGUUGUUGUUGUUCAUUUGUUUUUGAGCCUAGUGAUUUUUACCAAGCUCUAACUCCGAUUUUCAACUUUCUCUUUGUCCUAAAAUUGAUAUGUCAUGUAAAAUUUGAUUUUGCAUAAAUCACUCCAACAGUUAAUAAGGGGCUAUCAUAGAAAAUCAAUCAGGUACCAACCAGAGUAGUUCUCAAACACUAUAUUUCCAAAAGAGAAGUAUUUCCCUUAGGAAUUGCAGUCAGUGCACAGGCAGAACACAGGAGCACAGAAUCACUCCACACAGCUUACCUUGCUGACCACAGUGACCUCCAGACCUUUCUCGUACAAAGCAAUGUGGCUCAGUCCUCAUUUCUACACUUGCAAAUUUUAAACACCGAGCAUCAAGAGGACAACAGAAGAGACUCCAAGGAAGUAGGAAGACUAUAAAUGACCCAAAAUGUUUUUUAGUUAUACUGAAAUCUAUUUAAAAACCACAUAGCACAAAGAUCCAGCCUUAACUUGAAUAGUUGUGACAUCAUUCAACACCAAACCACCCUUUUAUUUCACAUAGUCUUAGUUUUCCUGCUCUUAUUUUAAAAUUUCCUUAACUGUUUAAUGAAUACUUAUUAAAUGAUUACCAUUUGAGAGACUGAGAGAUUUUAAGUCCCUGUUCACUACAAGAGGGCUUCCCUGGUGGCUCAGAUGGUGAAGAAUCUGCCUGCAAUGCAGGAGACCCAUGUUUGAUCCCUGGAUCAGGAAGAUCCCCUGGAAGAGGAAAUGGCAACCCACUUCAGUAUUCUUGCCUGGAGAAUCCAAUGGACAGAGGAGCCUGGUGGUCUACAGUCCACGGUGUUGCAAACAGUCAGAGACGACUGAGCAACUAACAACUGCCUUCUUCUUCUUUUACUACAAGAACUCAAAGUUUCCCAGGAAGACAGAAUGAUCCAUUGACACUUGAGUCUGACUGCCUGCACUGAAAUACUGUCUAGCCCACUUGGGUCCAUGUUGACAUCACUGAGCUCCCAAAUCCACCUGGGGUUUUCUUCCUCCAGGCAUUCUUUUUAGUAAACAAUAAGUGCUUCAUGGUCUACAUCACUUCUAGUUAGGUUGUUUGAUAAUUGCAGCCAAAUACAAUACAUUGAAAAAAGAACUUUCAUGAAAUGAUCUCAGGGUGUGAUAUUUCACUUUAUUAAUACAAAUAUAUUCAACUGCCACAUGUGGAAAUAGUCAAGUGAGCAAAAACGUCAAUGAAAAAUGAAGUAUAGGAGUUAUUUACAGAGGGCUGAAUGAAAUAAUUAAAGAAGUAGGAACAUGUGGGACUGUGUCUUUGCUUUGAACUAUAA